UUGCGGUACACUGACCGUACUAAGGUAGCAUAAUAAUUUGCCUUUUAAUUGGAGGCUAGUAUGAAUGGCUUGACGUGAAAUAUACUGUCUCAACUAUAUUUAGUAGAAUUUAACUUAUAGGUGAAGAGGCCUAAAUCUUGUGGGAAGACAAGAAGACCCUAUUGAGCUUUAAAUAUUUGUGUUAGUGAGAGCUUAAGGUUUAUAUGAUGGUCAUUAUUUCUAAGUAUGUUGGUUGGGGCGACCGAGGAGNNAAAAAUAACCUCCUNGUAAUGUAAAGAAUUUGUUAUCAAGGAACCUGUAAUAUAGGUUAUUCGGUAGUUACCAUAGGGAUAACAGDGUAAUUCUUUUGAAGAGUUCAUAUCGAAGAAAGAGAUUGCGNCCUCGAUGUUGGAUUAAGGUGUCCUAAGGGUGAAGAAGCUCUU
rnacentral:rRNA from 1 species